UGGUUACAAUAGCAGAGAGGAUACACCUGUUCCCAUUCCGAACACAGAAGUUAAGCUCUCUAGCGCUGAUGGUACUUGGUGGGAAAUCACCAAAAAGGU
rnacentral:rRNA from 1 species